CACACACACACACACACACACACACACACGCAGGCACACCCUGUUCUCCACGAUUCCCGAGCACCUCACAGCGCUCAGCUGAAGGCCGGGAAGAGGCUCGGGCCAACAGGAGCGGGUCUCGGGCCCUUUGCGGAACCUGCGCUCGCCGAGCGGAGCGUGCACGUGCGCGUCUCCCGAGCACUCACAGCGCCGCCCGGCAGCCAGUGCCGCCGGCGCCAUUGGGAAGUGAAACGCGGGGCUGGGCGGCGGCCUCGUGCAAGCGGCCGGAAAAAAUCGGCGGCUUGCUCUGAUUAAAGAAACAAACGAAAGAGAGUGAGAAGGAAGGAUUGGAAUGAAAGCUGACCUUUUCCAGUCCUGUGGCCAUUGCUGAGUUUUCCAUAUUUGCUGACAUAUGGAGUGCUGACAUGUGGAGUUCAUUGGAAGGACUGAUGCUGAAGCUGAAAUUCCAAUACUUUGGCCACCUGAUGUGAAGAACUGACUCACUGUGGAAAAGACCCUGAUGCUGGGAAAGAUUGAAGGCAGGAGGAGAAGGGGACGACAGAGGCUGAGUUGGUUGGACGGCAUUACCAAAAGGAUGGACAUGAGUUUGAGCAAGCUCCGGGAGCUGGUGAUCGACAGGGAAGCCUGGUGUGCUGCAGUCCAUGGGAUCACAAAGAGUCGGACACAACUGAGAGACUGAACUGAACUGAACUGAUGGAGUGCAGCACUUUCACAGCAUCAUCCUUUAGGAUUUUAAGUAGCUCAGCUGGAAUUCCAUCACCUCCACUGGCUUUGUUUUUAGUAAAGCUUCCUAAGUCUCUCUUGACCUCACACUCCAGAAUGUCCGGCUCUAAGUGAGUGACCACACUAAUGUGGUUAUCCAUGUCAUUAAGACCUUUUCUGUAGAGUUCUUCUGUGUAUUCUUGCCACCUCUUCUUUAUCUCCUCUGCUUCUAUUAGGUCCUUACCGUUUUUGUCUUUUAUCAUGCCCAUCUUUGCAUGAAAUACUCCCAUGGUAUCUCCAAUUAUCUUGAAGAGAUCUCUAGUCUUUCCCAAUCUUUGUUUUCCUCUACUUCUUUUGCAUUGUUCAUUGAAGCAGGCCUUCUUAUCUUUCCUUGCUAUUCUCUGGAACUCUGCAUUCAGUUGGGUUUAUCUUUCCCUUUCUCCUUUGCUUUUCACUUCUCUUCUUUCUUCAGCUAUUUAUAAAUCCUCUUCAGACAAUGACUUCGUCUGCUUGCAUUUGUUUUUCUUUGGAAUGGUUUUGGUCUCUGCCUCCUGUACAAUGUUAUAAAUUUCUAUCCAUAGGGCUUCAGGCACUCUAUCAGAUCUAAUCCCUUGAAUAUAUUUGUCACCUCAGGUCAUACCUGAAUGGCCUAGUGGUUUUCCCUUUCUUCAAUUAUAGCUUGAAUUUUUAAAUAAGGAGCUCAUGAUCUGAGCCACUAUUAGCUCCAGGUCUUGUUUUUGCUAACUGUAUAGAGCUUCUUCAUCUUCAGCUGCAAAGAACAUAAUCUGAUUUCCAUGUUGACUAUCUGGUGAUGUCCAUGUGUGGAGUCAUCUUUUGGGUUGUUGAAAAAGGGUGUUUGUUUAUGACUAGUGUGUUAUCUUCGCAAAACUAUUAGCCUUUGCCCUGCUUCUUUUGUCCUCCAAGAUUCAGUAGUGGCCAUAGGACUGGAAAAGGUUAGUUUUCGUUCCAAUCCCAAAGAAGGGCAAUGCCAAAGAAUGUUCAAACUACCAUACAGUUGUGCUCAUUUCACACGCUAGCAAAGGUAUACUCAAAAUCCUUCAAGCUAGGCUUCAGCAGUACAUGAACUAAGAACUUCCAGAUAUACAAGCUGGAUUUAGAAAAGGCAGAGGAACCAGAGAUCAAAUUGCCAGCAUCUGUUGGAUCUUAGAAAAAGCAAGAGCGUUCCAGAAAAACAUCUACUUCUGAUUUAUUGACUAUGCCAAAGACGUUGACUAUGUAGAUCACAACAAACUGCAGAAAAUUCUUAAAGAGAGGGGAGUACCAGCCCACCUUAACUUGUCUCCUGAGAAACCUGCAUGCAGGUCAAGAAGCAACAGUGAGAUCCAGACAUGGAACAACUGACUGGUUCCAAAUUGGGAAAGGAGUAGGGAGGGCUGUAUGUUGCCACCUUGCUUAUUUAAUGUAUAUACAGAAUACAUCAUGUGAAAUGCCAAGCUGGAUAUAUCACAAGCUAGAAUCAAGAUUGGCAGGGGAAAUAUCAACAGCCUCAGAUAUGCAGAUGAUACCCCUCUAAUGGCAGGAAUGAAGAGGAACUAAAGAGCCUCUUGAUGAGAGUGAAAGAGGAGAGUGAAUAAGCUGGUUUGAACUCAACAUUAAACACUAAGAUCAUGGCAUCCGGCCCCACCACUUCAUGGCAAACAGAAGGGGAAAAAGUGGAAGCAGUGACAGAUUAUAUUUUCUUGGCCUCCAAAAAAUCACUACAGAUGGUGACUAUAGUCAUGAAAUUAGAAAACACUUGCUCCUUGGAAGGAAAGUGAUAAUAAACCUAUACAGCAUAUUAAAAAGCAGAGAUAUUACUUUGCCAACAAAGGUCCAUCAAACCUAUAGUUUUUCCAGUAGUCAUGUGUGGAUGUGAGAGUUUCUCCAUAAAGAAAGCUGAACUCCAAAGAAUUGAUGCUUUUGAACCGUGGUGUUGGAGAAGACUCUUGAGAGUCCUUUGGACUGCGAGGAGAUCAAACCAGUCAAUCCUAAAGGAAAUCAGUCCCUAAUAUUCAUUGGAACGACUGAUGCUGAAGCUGAAGCUCCAAUACUUUAGCUACCUGAUAUGAAGAGCCAACUCUUAAAAGACCCUAAUGCUGGGAAAGAUUGAAGGCAAAAGGAAAAGGCAGAGGAUGAGAUGGUUGGAUAGCAUCACCGACUCAAUGGACAUGAAUCUGAACACACUCUGGGAGAUAGUGAAGGAUAGGGGAGCCUGGUGUGCUGUAGCCUAUGGAAUCACAAAGAGUCAAACAUAACUUAGUGACUGAGCAACAGCAAUAACAAAAUUCUUGAUACCUCUAUUGAAGAUGAGUUCCCUGUAUAUGUGUGAGUUUGUUUCUGGGCUCUCCAUUUUGGUUGGUUGGUUGAUCUGUCUUCAUGCCAGUAACAUGCUGUUUUAACUACUGUAGCUCUAUAAUAUAUUUAAAUUCAGGAAGUGUGAUGCCUCCAGCUUUGUUCUUUUUUCUCAAGAUUGUUUUGGCCAUUCUGUGUCCUUUGUGGUUUCAUAUGAACUUUAGGAUAUUUUUUCUAAGUGUGAAAAAAUCAAGAUUUUAAUAAGCAUUUCUCAGAAUUGGUAGAUCACUUUUGGAAAUAAGAAUAAUCUUUUAACAGUAUUAAUUCUUUCCAUCUUUGAGCACAGGAAGCCUUUUCAUUAAUGUGUGUCUUCUUUAAUGUCAUUCAUCAGUGUUUUGAAGAUUCCAGUAUAAGUGUCUUUCACCUCAUUAGUUGAGUUUACCUCUAAGCCAUUUAUUCUUUUUAAUGCUAUUACAAAUGAUUUUUUAUUUUUUUUUGGGUAGUUUGCUGUUUAGCAUAUAGAAAU
ensembl:lncRNA